AUUCUACCGUCUUCUACGGUGUUCUGCCCUUUCCCUUUCUUCAUCCAUUAGUUUUCUACUGGCUUCUUCUCUCUCUAUCCUUCUCUCGAUCUUUACGGCUUUAAAUCUGUAUCUUUUGAUCUUAAAAAUCCUGUGUUGUCACUUACUGUUUACACUAAUUCGCUCCAAAACCCUGUAAUUAAUUCAGUUUAGGGGUUACAGAUCUGUUUUCAUCCAAUAUGUUUUGGAAGCUCACUAAUCUUUCUUGUUCCCGCUUUGCAUUUCCAACCGAAUCUGCAAUAGGAACUCCGGCCUGUAUUGCAGCAGGAGUCUUAUCAAGAAAAAGUACGAUCAAAAGAGAUGGCGGCUCUGAAAAAUUUGAGCAAGAUAGAAGGUGGAAGCAGUUGAAAGAUGCAAAUAGCUAACCUUUGCUCUCUUUGGGUGGAUUUCAUCGGCUUUUGAAAGUGGAAUAUGCUCUAGAUUAAGGGACAAUAUUGAGACUGUAAGAUACAAAAGAUAUGAAAGCUCCAAGCACAUAAAACAAGGCCUUUGCGGUGCACUUUCGAGGCUAUCAGGAGCAUCAUUAUUUGUUGUUGCAAAUCGUGAUACAUCCAAAGUGCUCUUUCUCCAGAAGAAAUAGCAAAAGAUAAGGAAGCUGCCUGUUCUACCUUUAAUUAUGUUUUUUGGUUUUUGGUCAUGGCCUUUAAUUAUGUUGAUGAACAAUGAACUGAAAUUCUUUUCGCUGAAGUUAAACUAUAUCUAACUAAAGUAAAAUUCUGAACUGAUUAACAGUUUGCUAUAUCUGCAUCUGUAAUGCAACUGAAAAAUGACAAUCUUAAAUCGUGGCCUUUGACUAUGAGAAGGGCACGAGUUUCAGAAAUGCAUAAGCACUCUAUGAAUGUUCUUCUGACAUUUUCUUUUAUAAUAUGGACAGGCUUUUAAAACCCAAUUCAAUAUCAACCAUUUAAAAUUUAGCUCUACAUUUUUGUGAGACAGUCAUCCUCUUCAAAUUCUCCUGAUUUAGGUGCUUAAUCUGGAGGCCGUCGACAAAAGUUUACCUGGAGAAUUAUGAGGUGUAGUGCAUUCAUCGGACAAGGUCUAUUUGAGGAUUUGAUUGACUGGUGCUACACAUUGUCUUGGAUCUAUAUGCUUUGUUUGUGUGAUGUUUGCAUCAAAAUUUUGUUUAUAGAUGUAAGAUAAGAGUAUCCUGUAGGAAAUUUUACUUUGCAUAGUAGUUAUGGUUUAAGGAUCUCUUCUACUUUUCUAGAGCAUUCGUCAAUUGGUUUUGAUUUUUUUAAAUGGUAAGAUAUUCACAGCCUUUAGGCAGGUAGCAUUUUUUGUGUUCUCGGUGUGAAGUGGAAACGAGAUUAUAAUAUUAAGCUUAGAUUUUUUAUUGGUUAGAUUGAAGUGUUUGAUACAACUUAUUUAGACUUUAUAAUAUAUUUUUUUGUUUAGACAAUAUAAAAUAUGCUAAUCUCUUUUAAUUGGCAGUAUGAAGUAUUGAAACUUUAUUAGUAGUAACUAGAUGUGAUAUGCCCGUGCAAGCACGGGCCCAAAACAGGUCUUUAAAUCGAAAAGUUUGGUUCAAAUCCAAGCAACAACGUAACUUUCAUUAACAGGUUCUGGAAACUCAUGUCAAUUAACUCCCAAUUAUAUAGUUAUGAAAGAAGACAACACUAACACAUUACGUACAAUCAUUCUAGUAAUGUUGUAAGUAAAUGAAUGAAUCUGCAAAGCCUGAAGUAGAUUUAUCUUCUACCAGUCCAAAUCAUCUUCAAUUUCAACCCAGACUUUGGCUUUGGUUUCCAGGUGUGGUUUCCAAAAUUUCUCUGCUACCAAUCCAGUUUAGCGGUAGCGUCUGUUGCAUUUCGGACAAAAUACCAUACCCACAGGCCCAGCCGAACCAAGCCUCCCAGGCCACAAGCAAUAAACAGGUAGAUCCUCAGACUGAGUUCUGUGAAACUUUAUCAUAAACAAUGAUUGUCUCGCAUUAAAAGAUGAUCAGUUGAACAGGAGCUGCAACACCUUCGGAAUUAAACCUACACAAAAUGUACAUCAUCUUAGAGUCAUGAAAAAGUUUCAUCCGACAACAAUUUACUUUUGUUAUCGACCACCGUAACAUAUUUCAUACAUAUGUUAGUCCACCUAUAAUUCACUAUUUCUGUCUUUCUAGCAAGCUCACUGUAUAACUUUGUUCUCCAAACGAAUAUAGUAUACUACGAAGCAUAAUAUGUUAAUAUUUUGUUUAAUCAUAUUUUCUUUAUUUCCA